rnacentral:rRNA from 1 species
AGUGAACGCUGGCGGCAUGCCUUACACAUGCAAGUCGAACGGCAGCACGGGUGCUUGCACCUGGUGGCGAGUGGCGAACGGGUGAGUAAUGUAUCGGAACGUGCCUUUUAGUGGGGGAUAACGCAGCGAAAGUUACGCUAAUACCGCAUAUUCUGUGAGCAGGAAAGCAGGGGAUCGCAAGACCUUGCGCUAAUUGAGCGGCCGAUAUCAGAUUAGCUAGUUGGUGGGGUAAUGGCCCACCAAGGCUACGAUCUGUAGCGGGUCUGAGAGGAUGAUCCGCCACACUGGGACUGAGACACGGCCCAGACUCCUACGGGAGGCAGCAGUGGGGAAUUUUGGACAAUGGGGGCAACCCUGAUCCAGCCAUGCCGCGUGAGUGAAGAAGGCCUUCGGGUUGUAAAGCUCUUUCGGACGGGAAGAAAUCGCAUCGGCUAAUACCUGGUGCGGAUGACGGUACCGUAAUAAGAAGCACCGGCUAACUACGUGUCAGCCGCCGCAGUAA